rnacentral:rRNA from 1 species
UACGUAGGGGGCAAGCGUUGUCCGGAAUCAUUGGGCGUAAAGCGCGCGUAGGCGGCCCGGUAAGUCCGUUGUGAAAGUCAAAGGCUCAACCUUUGAACGCCGAUGGAUACUGCCGGGCUAGAGUCCGGAAGAGGCGAGUGGAAUUCCUGGUGUAGCGGUGGAAUGCGCAGAUAUCAGGAGGAACACCAAUAGCGAAGGCAGCUCGCUGGGACGGUACUGACGCUGAGACGCGAAAGCGUGGGGAGCGAACAGG